rnacentral:lncRNA from 1 species
UCAACAGUAUACAUGUUAAAAUAUGCCUUGCAGUAAAACACUUAAUCAAUAACCGGUUAUAAAACUUGUAAAGUAAAGUAAAACAUUAAAGCUGCUUUAAAGUGAUAUUUGUCUUAAAUUUAGAUGGACUCAGGAAAAAUGGAAUUAACGGACUUUAAAGUAGAUGAUGAACAAUUAGUAAAUCAAAUACUAUGAUUGUAUGAAUGAUUUAAACUCAAUAAAAUGCAUUUAAAAAUAAUUAAACUCUCAC